rnacentral:sRNA from 12 species
UUGAAAAGAAAACAAAAUGAAAGAAAUUCAUUUUUAAUAAAUGUUUUCGACAAAUGGCUGCCGACCGGAGGGAGGGGCAGUACAUCUU